GCUGAACACCCUUCUCAAUGAUCCAAGCAGUGUGAAGUUUGAACCCAACUCCUCCAACUUCACGAGCACACCAGACCAAAUACAUGGGAAAAUGGAUUACAUCUUUCAAGAGGGAAAUAAGAUACAACCUGUCAGCUUCCUAAAUGAGCUCAAUAAACUGAUGGGAGUGAGUUCUACAAUGUCUCCACUUACAACAAGUAGCUUCCCUGUGACGUCCUUCCAGCAAAU